rnacentral:lncRNA from 1 species
GCCUCUAAAUAGAGCUGUUGUUUGCAGUGACUCUGGGUCUUGGCUUCUGACCCUGAAGGGACAGGCAGAGCUCUUCUGCUCGCUCGUGGAGAAAGCCUAGAGCACGGCCAGAAGACUGACUUUAUUGGUGAGGAAGAGUGGAACGGAUCCAAAGCCUGUUGUCUCGUGAGUGAUUUAGACCAGGAAGGCACUGGGAGCGUAAGUCUGGGGUGGCUGUGGGGGACAAGCCGUGGUACCUCAGUGGAUGAAGUACCCCCUAACACCCUCCCAUGCUUCUGAGCAU